rnacentral:tRNA from 3 species
GGCAACGUAGCUCAGCGGUUAGAGCGGGCGCUUCAUAAGCGCUAGGUCACUGGUUCGAUCCCAGUCGUUGCCA